rnacentral:misc_RNA from 1 species
GAUGAAGAACGCAGCGAAAUGCGACAAGUAAUGUGAAUUGCAGAAUUCAGUGAAUCAUCGAAUCUUUGAACGCAUAUUGCGCUCUCUGGUAUUCCGGAGAGCAUGCUUGUUUGAGUAUCAGUAAACACCUCAACUUUCCAUAUCUUUUUUGAAAUGGGAGUUGGACUUGAGUGAUCCCAACGCUUUUCCUCACCGAAAAGUGGCGGGUUACUUGAAAUGCAGGUGCAGCUGGACUUUUCUCUGAGCUAUAAGCAUAUCUAUUUAGUCUGCCUAAAAAACAGAUUAUUACCUUUGCUGCAGCUAACAUAAAGGAGAUUAGUUCUUGUGCUGACUGAUGCAGGAUUCACAAAGACAGGCUUCGGCCGACUUUGUAAACUCGAUCUCAAAUCAAGUAAGACUACCCGCUGAACUUAAGCAUAUCAAUAAGCGGAGGA